rnacentral:misc_RNA from 1 species
CUUUGGUAGCCAACUUCUGUUAUUUUCCAGCUUCACUAUCAUUUUAGCUUCUAUUUGGCAGAAGAUCACGCUUCAAGUUUCUUCUGUAAAAAUCUUGAAAACAAAGUCACGAAAGCGUCUUGAAUAUUGCUUAGGAUCAACAGCUGAUAUUGAACUGGGAUCAUACUGGAUGGAUUUGUACGCAUGCUCAAGCUUCUUGCUAAUGUCGUAGUCUUGAAGUAUGUCUAUGAUACCAAAAAACAUUAUCACAUCAUAAUACUCUCCUGUUGGUUCUCCUACAAGUUGAAUUUCACAGUCAUUUCUUCUCAUAGUUCUUUCCACUCGUGCUGGCAUGUUUACACCCAAUCUAAUCCGAGCCCACCUGGCUGGGUCUAGAAGAAGAUGAUCCAUAUCGGCUCUUGAAAGGCGCGGACCUCCAUCACUCUCAGUCUCACCUCCAGAAUUAAUACGAGAAGCAGAAGGAAUCAGGUCCCCACUAUGUGAUACUUCUCUAAAGUGAAGACCCACUAGCAAGCUGUAGUCCAUAAUCCUCUCCUGUUCAAGAAACUCACAAUCUCUAUCUACUUGCCUGCAAAACUCUUGAAACCAUGAUUUCUGUAGUCUGAAUAUGAAAUUCAGAUCUAAAUCUUUAAGGAUAGUUGUUGAUUCAAUCUCUGAUUCAGGUUUAUCUGUUAUUCGACCAAGUGAAGAUCCCUUCAAGUCG